rnacentral:rRNA from 1 species
CCCUUAGAUGUUCUGGGCUGCACGCGCGCUACACUGAUGCACUCAACGAGUUUACGCCCUUGCCCGAUAGGGUUGGGUAAUCUUUUUAAAAUGCAUCGUGAUGGGGAUAGAUUAUUGCAAUUAUUAAUCUUCAACGAGGAAUUCCUAGUAAGCGCGAGUCAUCAGCUCGUGCUGAUUACGUCCCUGCCCUUUGUACACACCGCCCGUCGCUCCUACCGAUUGAGUGCUCAGGUGAAUAAUUCGGACUGCAGCAAUGUUUGGAUCCCGAACGUUGCAGCGGAAAGUUUAGUGAACCUUAUCACUUAGAGGAAGGAGAAGUCGUAACA